rnacentral:rRNA from 1 species
GACGAACGCUGGCGGCGUGCUUAACACAUGCAAGUCGAACGGAAAGGCCCUGCUUUUGUGGGGUGCUCGAGUGGCGAACGGGUGAGUAACACGUGAGUAACCUGCCCUUGACUUUGGGAUGACUUCAGGAAACUGGGGCUAAUACCGGAUAGGAGCUCCUGCUGCAUGGUGGGGGUUGGAAAGUUUCGGCGGUUGGGGAUGGACUGGCGGCUUAUCAGCUUGUUGGGGGGGGAGUGGCUUACCAAGGCUUUGACGGGUAGCCGGCCUGAGAGGGUGACCGCGGACAUGAGGACUGCGGGAGGGACCAGACUCCAACGGGAGGCAGUAGUGGGGAGUAUGACCCAGUGGGCGGGCGUGUGAUGAGACGGCGCUGGGUUCGGAAAGACGGUCUUGGGGUUGUGAACCGCUUUCGCCUGUGACGAAGCGUGAGUGACGGUAAUGGGUGAAGAAGCACCGGCUAACUACGUG